GCCGAGGUGGCGGAAUGGUAUACGCGCACGGCUUAGGACCGUGUGGGGCAACCCAUAGGAGUUCAAGUCUCCUCCUCGGCA
rnacentral:tRNA from 1 species